rnacentral:rRNA from 1 species
CCUGGCCUACGGGGGGCAGCAGUGGGGAAUAUUGCACAAUGGGGGAAACCCUGAUGCAGCGACGCCGCGUGAGCGAUGAAGUAUUUCAGUAUGUAAAGCUCUAUCAGCAGGGAAGAAAAUGACGGUACCUGACUAAGAAGCCCCGGCUAACUACGUGCCAGCAGCCGCGGUAAUACGUAGGGGGCAAGCGUUAUCCGGAUUUACUGGGUGUAAAGGGAGCGUAGACGGAAAGGCAAGUCAGAAGUGAAAACCCAAGGCUCAACCAUGGGACUGCUUUUGAAACUGUCAAACUAGAGUACGGGAGA